UACGAAGGGGGCUAGCGUUGCUCGGAAUUACUGGGCGUAAAGGGCGCGUAGGCGGACAGUUAAGUCAGAGGUGAAAGCCCAGGGCUCAACCUUGGAAGUGCAUCUGAAACUGCGCAACUAGAGUCUCGGAGAGGGUGGUAGAAUUCCCAGUGUAGAGGUGAAAUUCGUAGAGAUCCGGAAGAACACCGGUGGCGAAGGCGGUCUGCUGGGGUCGAACUGACGCUGAGGCGCGACAGCGUGGGGAGCAAACAGG
rnacentral:rRNA from 1 species